rnacentral:rRNA from 1 species
CAGGAUGAACGCUGGCGGCGUGCCUAAUACAUGCAAGUCGAACGAGGUAGCAAUACCGAGUGGCGAACGGGUGAGUAACACGUAGGUAACCUGCCCUUAAGCUUGGGAUACCCAGAGGAAACUUUGGCUAAUACCGGAUAACAACAGAGAAGGCAUCUUCUUUGCUUGAAAGGCCCCUUCAAGGGUCACUUAAGGAUGGACCUGCGGCGCAUUAGCUAGUUGGUGAGAUAACAGCCCACCAAGGCGAGGAUGCGUAGCCGAACUGAGAGGUUGAUCGGCCACAUUGGAACUGAGACACGGUCCAAACUCCUACGGGAGGCAGCAGUAAGGAGUUUUCGGCAAUGGGGGAAACCCUGACCGAGCAACGCCGCGUGAGCGAUGACGGUCCUUUGGAUUUGUAAAGCUCUGUUGUAAGCCAUGAAUGACAGCUUGAGGAAAUGCAAGUUGUUUGACGACAGCUUACCAGAAAGCCACGGCUAACUACGUGCCAGCCGCUGC